GUAGGUGGCAAGCGUUGUCCGGAAUUAUUGGGCGUAAAGCGCGCGCAGGCGGUUCUUUAAGUCUGAUGUGAAAGCCCACGGCUCAACCGUGGAGGGUCAUUGGAAACUGGAGAACUUGAGUACAGAAGAGGAAAGCGGAAUUCCACGUGUAGCGGUGGAAUGCGUAGAGAUGUGGAGGAACACCAGUGGCGAAGGCGGCUUUCUGGUCUGUAACUGACGCUGAGGCGCGAAAGCGUGGGGGAGCAAACAGGAUUAGAUACCCUGGUAGUCCACGCCGUAAACGAUGAGUGCUAAGUGUUAGGGGGUUUCCGCCCUUAGUGCUGCAGCUAACGCAUUAAGCACUCCGCCUGGGAGUACGGCCGCAAGGCUG
rnacentral:rRNA from 1 species